rnacentral:tRNA from 1 species
GGGCCAGUAGCUCAGUGGCAGAGCAGGGGACUUUUAAUCCUCGUUCGUCGGCCCUAAUCCGCCAUUCUAGGCGCAUCUGGCGUUCCA